GAUGAACGCUGGCGGCGUGCCUAAUACAUGCAAGUCGAGCGAACAGACGAGGAGCUUGCUCCUCUGACGUUAGCGGCGGACGGGUGAGUAACACGUGGAUAACCUACCUAUAAGACUGGGAUAACUUCGGGAAACCGGAGCUAAUACCGGAUAAUAUAUUGAACCGCAUGGUUCAAUAGUGAAAGACGGUUUUGCUGUCACUUAUAGAUGGAUCCGCGCCGCAUUAGCUAGUUGGUAAGGUAACGGCUUACCAAGGCGACGAUGCGUAGCCGACCUGAGAGGUGAUCGGCCACACUGGAACUGAGACACGGUCCAGACUCCUACGGGAGGCAGCAGUAGGGAAUCUUCCGCGAUGGGCGAAAGCCUGACGGAGCAACGCCGCGUGAGUGAUGAAGGUCUUCGGAUCGUAAAACUCUGUUAUUAGGGAAGAACAAAUGUGUAAGUAACUAUGCACGUCUUGACGGUACCUAAUCAGAAAGCCACGGCUAACUACGUG
rnacentral:rRNA from 1 species